ACCGUAUCUUCCCAAAAAUAAAAGAGAGUCAAAAAAAAAAAAAAAAAACCAUGGUAAUUUACUUAUAAAAAUGUUCAUGACUAAUUAUAUAUAUAUAUUUAUUUUUUUUUUUAUUUAUUUACUUAUUAAUUAAUUGAUCUAUCUCUAUUUUCUUCUUUUUAUUUUAUAAUAAAGAAGUAAUGAAAAAUUAAUGACGAAUUUCAUAAUAUUUAAAAAAAUAUGGUGACACAUUGAUUCUAUUAUCUAUCUAUCUAUCUACUUAUUUUUUUUUUUUUUUUUUUUUUUUUUUUUACAUAUUACUCAAAAUAAUGGAUGCACAAAAUAAACCUCAAAUAAUCGAACAUAUAAAUCACCCCCUUAAUGAUACAGUAUAUGAUGUCAAGUGGAUAGAUGGCAAAUCUAAAAUUGUUGCUGCUGGAGAAGCACUAGAUAAAACAGGGUAUUUAAGUGUUUAUGAUUUAAAUAAAGGCAACUUCACCCGCAUUUCUAAUCAUAUAACAAAAUGUGGUAUGAAAACCAGUAGUCUCUUUUUUUCGUAUACUGGGGCAUAUACCGUAGCAUGUGGCUCAUUUGAUGGAAGCAUAUUGUUGUACGAUAUCAAUGAAUUGUCAAAACCUUAUUAUACUAUAAAGAAGCACACAAAAUUAAUAAAUAAAAUUGAUUGUAAAAGCUUUAAAAAUAAUAAUAUUAUCAUAAGUGCUAGCAGAGAUGGUUCUGUAAAAAUUUUCGACAUACGGACAAAUCGAGAAGUAAAUAAAAAAAAAAUGAAUAUACACACACAUGUUCAUGUACUUAUAUAUAUAUAUAUAUUUAUCUAUUUAUUUAUUUUAUUGUUUUAUUACUUAUAAGUAUGACUAACACACAUUGAAUAUUCAUUUUUAUAUUAUAGCUUAAAUACUUGCACUAAAAAUUUCUUAUUUAUUCUAUUUUUUUACACUAAGGCUGUAAGUUUAGAACCCCCAAAAGACUCUGCUUACAUUCCAGAUUGUUGGUGUGUUGCUACAGGUUAAUAAUUAUAAAUAAAAAAAAUAAAAAAUUAAAAAAAUAAAAAAAA
rnacentral:lncRNA from 1 species